CUCUCACACACCCCUUUUCUCCCGAGCCUCAAUCCACUGUUGCUCCUCUUCCUUUUCCUCUUGUUACCACUGACCACAACGGCUCGACGCCGACCGUUAGCCCUUCCAUAUCUUCUUUGUCGCCUGAUGUCGAGUUGUCCUCGUUGUUCCAGCGAUCAUUGACGCUAUCCUGCCCCAAUUUCUACUCGACGCCAUUGUCUACGUGCGCUGUCUGAUCGCACCAACGCCGCCCACCGCUCCACGCCACCGUUGCUUGAAGGGAGGAGUCGAUGAAAGGGGCUAAGGGAGUCUCUCUCUCUCUCUCUCUCUCUCUCUCGCGCGCGCGCGCGCGCGUUCACAGAUCUAAGUAGAACGAUGACUAUUGCCACCAGUGAGGGCAUCGCCGCGAGUCCUCUCCAGCAAACAGUGCUGCCGCUGCCCUACUCCCUAAGCACCGGAGCCACUCGAUCCAGCACACCAGCGGUCUAAGAGCCAUUGUCACCUAUUUUUCCUCGUGUCAUCAUUGUUCACACAAUUUCUCCUCAUGUGCAUGACCGAUCAUCGGAGGCUCGGCUGCCUUCGAGAGCCGAUAAUGCUGCAAUGCCAAGAUUGAAGCCACACCAUCCUUGGUUGUGCCCUAGUGACAUCGUCACCCUCCUCUGUACUGGAUCGACAUCACGGUAGCCUUGGAUCCUUCACUAUGCAGCUAUAGAUCUGGAUUUGGGAUAAGUGUGUAGAUUUGGAUUAAUGCUGGAUGGAAUCCUAUCUUGGUUGUUUCAUUGGAUCGAUGUCAUUUCAUGGAAUUUGAAUUGUUGUUUAGUAAAUCUAGAUCUGGUUCUUAGAUUUUGUUACGGAGAUUAAUGGGGGAUUAAUACCUUCCCGAAUUUGGUUUAUAUGGAAGAUUUGGAGUUCUUGAUUUGCGGUGGCUAUCCUUCUUCAGCCAAGGAUUGAAAGAAGGGGAUUAUUAAGGUUAGUUUCAUGGUUCAACAUUGAUUUGAUCAAUAAAUGUAUCGAUAUCAGAUUUGGAAUGUAUUAUUAUGUGGUGGUUUGGUUAAUUAGAUGGGUGAUUGGAAAAACAGUUUUGAUGAGUAUGAUGAGUAGUGGUGAUUGAUGAUGAUUAGUGGUGAUUGAUUGUGGAAUAUGGAUGAUUAUGUUAUUGUUGAGAUGUAAUUGAAUCGUAUAUUUGGAUGGUGGAUUGAUUAGGGCUAUUUAAUCUAUUUGGUUGGUGGAAUGCUUAAGGAUACUUAAAUCCAAUAUAGACAUGAUUGAUUAUCAUCCUAUUGGUUCAUUAUGCUUGUAGUUGAUACAUGGAUUAAAUGAUGGUGUAAAAUGGAAUCAUUAACUAAUUGGGGUUGCCAUGAUUGAUUGGUGAGAAUUAAAGAAUUUAUUGGUGGAUUAAGGAUGGAUAUAUCAUCUAAUUGGAUUUGGAUCAUUAGGUGGAAUUAAAAAUGGUUACCUAAUUGAAUUAGGAUCGGGUUUUGGGUUUAGCUAAUUGUUAUAUAUGUGAUUAGCUAAACUAUAUAUCAUGUGAUUUUCGUCUCGACGUGGGAUGGUUUAGCACGAUCUAUAUAUGAAGCUAGCAGGUAAAGGAUUUAUGGAGUCACCUGGAGUUCCUAUCCGCUAGUCCCAUGCCAUAUCGAGCGACUUCUUCCGUUAUUGCUUUCGUUCGUAUUAUUGGCUUUGGACUUGUUCAUGUGUAUGUAUCUUUUGUAUGGAGGUCAGCUUUGUAGUUUCUUAUAUUUGGUUUGACGUUGUCAUGUCAAGCCGAGCUGACUCGUAGUUAGUUGUAUUGUGGUUUUGUGAUUUUUAUUUUGUGAUUUUCGCUGUGUUUUGCUACAACCGUGUGGGCUCUUUAUUAACUGUAUGGUUAUGUUUACUUUCAACCGUGUGGUCUGCUUAUAAAA